UACGGAGGGUGCAAGCGUUAUCCGGAUUCACUGGGUUUAAAGGGAGCGUAGGUGGGUUGGUAAGUCAGUGGUGAAAUCCCCGAGCUUAACUUGGGAACUGCCAUUGAUACUAUCAGUCUUGAAUACCGUGGAGGUCAGCGGAAUAUGUCAUGUAGCGGUGAAAUGCUUAGAUAUGACAUAGAACACCAAUUGCGAAGGCAGCUGGCUACACGAAUAUUGACACUGAUGCACGAAAGCGUGGGGAUCAAACAGG
rnacentral:rRNA from 1 species